UAUAUAUGUUGAUGUUCCA
rnacentral:siRNA from 1 species